rnacentral:rRNA from 1 species
GUCCACGCCGUAAACGAUGUCUACUUGGAGGUUGUGGCCUUGAGCCGUGGCUUUCGGAGCUAACGCGUUAAGUAGACCGCCUGGGGAGUACGGUCGCAAGAUUAAAACUCAAAUGAAUUGACGGGGGCCCGCACAAGCGGUGGAGCAUGUGGUUUAAUUCGAUGCAACGCGAAGAACCUUACCUACUCUUGACAUCCUCAGAAGAGACUGGAGACAGUCUUGUGCCUUCGGGAACUGAGAGACAGGUGCUGCAUGGCU